AGCUUUGUGCAGUGGCAAUAGCAUAGCCAAUGAGGUUUAUCCAAGGCGUGAUUAUCGCUAAUUGAAAAUUUUCCCAAUACCCUGCCAUGACGACUUGCAAUAUAGUCAGCACUGGCAAUUUUUGACAGUCUCUGAAGAAA
ensembl:snRNA U4 U4 spliceosomal RNA